rnacentral:lncRNA from 1 species
GUGAAGCUGGUGAGUAAUUGGGCUAAAUAAGAAUUUUCCCCAGGUGAAAAUGGGGACCCGAACUGAAAAUGGAGGAAACCCACCUCCUGAGUCUUUGGUGAAAGAGUGAAGCUACAUUCCAGACUACGACUUUAUGACCUUUCUAUCACUUGGUAAGGAGUGAUCCCAAAAAGUGGCGUGAUCCUUGCAAGUGAGUAAGAUGCCUGCCUUCCUGGAGGCCCGGAGAAAUUGAGGGAGGGAAAGCGUCCUUCAAGAUGCGGAAUCACGCAAGGCAGUGGGACUAGGAAUCCCUUUUAAAGUUUCUCUAAAUCACUUAAAGUCAUCUAUCCUUCGUCAUGAGAAGAUACCUGUUGGAACAGAAGUAAAGGAAUGGAAGGAGAAGAGCUUCAGAAGGUUUCUUGAGCUAAGCUUUGGUGAGCUACCAUCUGGGAAAAGCCAUGCAUCUCUCCAAGCUUUAAAAGCCACAGCAGACUCCUGUGAGCAACAUA